GCCAAUGGGCUCGCAGCCCCGCGCCCCGCGCGGCCAAUGGGAGCGCUGCGCUGCGCAGCCUCGCCCUCCUCCUCCCGCCUCCCGCUGCCGGGCGAGAGCCGGCGGGGCUCGGGCCGCGCCUUUGGCGGGGUCCCUCCCCCUCACUCUCGCUGCCUCCCUCCCGCCCCAACGGCCGCGGGGUCGCGGGGCGGAGCGGGCGGGGUCGCCGGGCGGUUUAGCGGAGCCCAUUUACCCGCCGCUGCCGCCGGCUUCGCCCCGCCCCGCCCCGUCCCGUCCGUCAGGGGCCGCGCGGGCUGUGCGCGCCCCUCGCGCCUCCCGCCGCCGGCCGCGCGCCCCGCGCGCCCCUCACGGGGUCCGGCGCCCGUUCGCGGGGUCCCCGCGGCCGCCGCUCUGCGAAACGAGGGGAUGAGAGAACCAGCUAGGCUGGAAAAGGCCUCUGAGGUCAGCGAGUCCAGUUUAUGACCAACCCGGUUAUGGCAGCGAGCGCCACAUCCAGUCUUUCCUCCAACACCUUCAGGGACAGCAGCAUCUGGGCUUUCAACCCACCUCGUCUCCACUGCUUUUUAUACCAGAGCCAGGAUUUCCAAACCUUUUAACGUAACUCUGUAAUUUCUUCUGAAAGGCAGGUCUGAAAGCUUGUAAACUCAAAUGAAAAAAUCGACCCCAAAGUGACCUUCACUCCUUGGUAUCACCAGCCAUGUAGCAGCCAAGGGUUAUUCUCUUGCAGUACCUAUGUGCCACACCUUAAAAAGUGGGAUUUGUGCGGACAUUUGCUCUUUUUCCUUGUUUAUGCUUUGAUACAAUUACUGUGCAUUGGUUUCUUUCUAUAAAAUGUGCACUAGAGGGUGUGAUUGUUGUAACGCAGAGCCACUAACAAGUAAAAAUGUAAAUACUAAAAAAAUAAUCUGUGUUUUUUCUUGACUCCCCCAACCAGGCAUGACCACAUGGAAUUUGAGUUACUUAAAUGAGGAACACUCACAUGUUUCAAAAAUCAAACCAGGGGGAAAAAAUCAGGUUUUUACAUUCAAGCUGUCAUUUGAAUAUUUAUUUAAUUUAUGUUGAGCUUUGAAAAUUACCUUUAUCAACUAGUCAAGAAGCCAUUAUCUCUGUUCAAACAACACACUCUUGUGACCUUUGUUCAGGGGACUUCUUGUCUGGUCUUCAAGUUAGCCUUAUAAGCUGCCCAUUACAACAAUAUCAGACAUUUUAAAGUAAAGGUUUAAGGAAUUUCCAAGGUUAUAACGUCUACUGAAAUAAUUAUUCUGUUAGUAACUUCUGUGCCUCUUUUACCAUGCUCCUUACCAUGAAAGUGCUUUUGUGUUUCUGAGAUUAUGGAAUUACGUGGAGCAAUAAAGGGCAUUCUCACUUGCAGCCAUCAAUCGAAACUGUUUGUGUUUCCCUCUGCUCUUGCUUGACUUGCCUAAGAAACUGCAAUUACGUUCUCUGCCAGGUACCUCUUAAAGGAAAAAGAACAAAGAUUAAAAAUUUUAAUAUCCCUGACAUGGCAAACCAAAAGCACCAGUAGCUAGUUAAUAAUGGGCCCUUUAAUGUGUAACCUUGAAGCUUUUUGUGUGAUGAUCCUUGUGGGGGAUGUUUGCUGUUUUCAGGUAUUGUGCUGAAUCAAGACACCACCUGAUGCCAGAAAUCAGAGCUGGAGAGUGAUAAGUGAUUUUAUCUAUGCUGGUUCA